GGAUUCACUGGGCGUAAAGGGUGCGUAGGCGGUCGGGUAAGUCUGAUGUGAAAUCUCACAGCUUAACUGUGAAACUGCAUUGGAUACUAUCCGGCUAGAGGAAUGGAGGGGAGACUGGAAUACUUGGUGUAGCAGUGAAAUGCGUAGAUAUCAAGUGGAACACCAGUGGCGAAGGCGAGUCUCUGGACAUUUCCUGACGCUGAGGCACGAAAGCCAGGGGAGCAAACGGG
rnacentral:rRNA from 1 species